rnacentral:sRNA from 1 species
GCUGGGCAUGGUGGCACACGCCUGUAAUCCCAGCGGCUUGGGAGGCUGAGGCAGGAGGAUCGCAAGUUCAAAGCCAGCCUCAACAACUUAGUGAGGCCCUGAGCAACCCAGCGAGACCCUGUCUGAA